GACGAACGCUGGCGGCGUGCUUAACACAUGCAAGUCGAACGGUAAGGCCCUGCUUUUGUGGGGUGUUCGAGUGGCGAACGGGUGAGAAACACGUGAGUAACCCGCCCAUGUCUUUGGGAUAACUGCAAGAAACUGGGGCAAAUACCAGAUAGGAGUCCCCCCUGCAUGGGGGGGGUUGGAAAGUUUCGGCGGUUGGGGAUGGACUCGCGGCUUAUCAGCUUGUUGGUGGGGUAGUGGCUCACCAAGGCCUUGACGGGUAGCCGGCCUGAGAGGGUGACCGGCCACAUUGGGACUGAGAUACGGCCCAGACUCCUACGGGAGGCAGCAGUGGGGAAUAUUGCACAAUGGGCGGAAGCCUGAUGCAGCAACGCCGCGUGCGGGAUGACGGCCUUCGGGUUGUAAACCGCUUUCGCCUGGGACGAAGCGUGAGUGACGGUAAUUGGAGAAGAAGCACCGGCUAACUACGUG
rnacentral:rRNA from 1 species